GAUGAACGCUAGCGGGAGGCCUAACACAUGCAAGCCGAGCGGUAGAGGUUCUUCGGAAUCUUGAGAGCGGCGUACGGGUGCGGAACACGUGUGCAACCUGCCUUUAUCAGGGGGAUAGCCUUUCGAAAGGAAGAUUAGUACCCCAUAAUAUAUUGAUUGGCAUCAAUUAAUAUUGAAAACUCCGGUGGAUAGAGAUGGGCACGCGCAAGAUUAGAUAGUUGGUAGGGUAACGGCCUACCAAGUCAAUGAUCUUUAGGGGGCCUGAGAGGGUGAUCCCCCACACUGGUACUGAGACACGGACCAGACUCCUACGGGAGGCAGCAGUGAGGAAUAUUGGACAAUGGGUGAGAGCCUGAUCCAGCCAUCCCGCGUGAAGGACGACGGCCCUAUGGGUUGUAAACUUCUUUUGUAUAGGGAUAAACCUUUCCACGUGUGGAAAGCUGAAGGUACUAUACGAAUAAGCACCGGCUAACUCCGUGCCAGCAGCCGCGGUAAUACGGAGGGUGCAAGCGUUAUCCGGAUUUAUUGGGUUUAAAGGGUCCGUAGGCGGAUCUGUAAGUCAGUGGUGAAAUCUCAUAGCUUAACUAUGAAACUGCCAUUGAUACUGCAGGUCUUGAGUAAAGUAGAAGUGGCUGGAAUAAGUAGUGUAGCGGUGAAAUGCAUAGAUAUUACUUAGAACACCAAUUGCGAAGGCAGGUCACUAUGUUUUAACUGACGCUGAUGGACGAAAGCGUGGGGAGCGAACAGGAUUAGAUACCCUGGUAGUCCACGCCGUAAACGAUGCUAACUCGUUUUUGGGGCUUUAAGCUUCAGAGACUAAGCGAAAGUGAUAAGUUAGCCACCUGGGGAGUACGUUCGCAAGAAUGAAACUCAAAGGAAUUGACGGGGGCCCGCACAAGCGGUGGAUUAUGUGGUUUAAUUCGAUGAUACGCGAGGAACCUUACCAAGGCUUAAAUGGGAAUUGACAGGUUUAGAAAUAGACUUUUCUUCGGACAAUUUUCAAGGUGCUGCAUGGUUGUCGUCAGCUCGUGCCGUGAGGUGUUAGGUUAAGUCCUGCAACGAGCGCAACCCCUGUCACUAGUUGCCAUCAUUCAGUUGGGGACUCUAGUGAGACUGCCUACGCAAGUAGAGAGGAAGGUGGGGAUGACGUCAAAUCAUCACGGCCCUUACGCCUUGGGCCACACACGUAAUACAAUGGCCGGUACAGAGGGCAGCUACCAAGUGAUUGGAUGCGAAUCUCGAAAGCCGGUCUCAGUUCGGAUUGGAGUCUGCAACUCGACUCUAUGAAGCUGGAAUCGCUAGUAAUCGCGCAUCAGCCAUGGCGCGGUGAAUACGUUCCCGGGCCU
rnacentral:rRNA from 1 species